rnacentral:rRNA from 1 species
AUUGAACGCUAGCGGGAUGCCUUACACAUGCAAGUCGAACGGAGUGGCGAACGGGUGAGUAAUGUAUCGGAACGUGCCCAGUAGCGGGGGAUAACUACGCGAAAGCGUAGCUAAUACCGCAUACUAUUGGAGCGGCCGAUAUCGGAUUAGCUAGUUGGUGGGGUAACGGCUCACCAAGGCGACGAUCCGUAGCUGGUUUGAGAGGACGACCAGCCACACUGGGACUGAGACACGGCCCAGACUCCUACGGGAGGCAGCAGUGGGGAAUUUUGGACAAUGGGGGAAACCCUGAUCCAGCCAUCCCGCGUGUGCGAUGAAGGCCUUCGGGUUGUAAAGCACUUUUGGCAGGAAAGCGGUACCUGCAGAAUAAGCACCGGCUAACUACGUGCCAGCCGCCGCGGUAAUAC